ACACCAUGUGUCCACAACUUCUGCUUGAAAUGUUUCCAAUGGUGGACUCAGAAUGCACCUACUACACUAAAAGUGGCACAAGAACUAAGAAUUGACUCAGCACUAGUCCAAGCUAUCCGUAUGGCCAAGGGUGUAAACAGUGCAAGUUCAGCUGGUGAAAAAUCAGUUUAUCGUUAUAAACAAAACAAAGAUAAGUCUGAUAAAACUUUCUCUACUGAAUGGGAUAAGAGGGCUGGAAUGGCAAUGCUUCUAGUGGACAAAUAUUUGUGA
rnacentral:lncRNA from 2 species